GGAUUAGAUACCCUGGUAGUCCACGCCCUAAACGAUGUCAACUAGUUGUUGGGAGCCUUAAUAGCUCUUGGUGACGAAGCUAACGCGUUAAGUUGACCGCCUGGGGAGUACGGCCGCAAGGUUGAAACUCAAAGGAAUUGACGGGGGCCCGCACAAGCGGUGGAGCAUGUGGUUUAAUUCGAUGCAACGCGAAGAACCUUACCAGCCCUUGACAUCCUCGGAAUUUGGCAGAGAUGCCUUAGUGCCUUCGGGAACCGAGUGACAGGUGCUGCAUGGCUGUCGUCAGCUCGUGCCG
rnacentral:rRNA from 1 species